rnacentral:rRNA from 1 species
GUGAGGAAUAUUGGUCAAUGGGCGAAAGCCUGAACCAGCCAUGUCGCGUGAAGGAUGAAGGUCCUAUGGAUUGUAAACUUCUUUUGCAGGAGGGUAAAGUGAGCUACGUGUAGUUCAUUGCAAGUACCCUGCGAAUAAGCAUCGGCUAACUCCGUGCCAGCAGCCGCGGUAAUACGGAGGAUGCGAGCGUUAUCCGGAUUUAUUGGGUUUAAAGGGUGCGUAGGCGGACUAAUUAGUCAGCGGUGAAAUUUUGCGGCUCAACCGUAAAACUGCCGUUGAAACUGUUAGUCUUGAGUGCGGUAGAGGUAGGCGGAAUGUGUUGUGUAGCGGUGAAAUGCUUAGAUAUCACACAGAACACCGAUUGCGUAGGCAGCUUACUGGAGCGCAACUGACGCUGAGGCACGAAAGCGUGGGGAUCGAACAGGAUUAGAUACCCCGGUAGUCC